UCUUCCCUCUGGCGGCGUGCCUAAUACAUGCAAGUCGAGCGAACAGACGAGGAGCUUGCUCCUCUGACGUUAGCGGCGGACGGGUGAGUAACACGUGGAUAACCUACCUAUAAGACUGGGAUAACUUCGGGAAACCGGAGCUAAUACCGGAUAAUAUAUUGAACCGCAUGGUUCAAUAGUGAAGGACGGUUUUGCUGUCACUUAUAGAUGGAUCCGCGCCGCAUUAGCUAGUUGGUAAGGUAACGGCUUACCAAGGCAACGAUGCGUAGCCGACCUGAGAGGGUGAUCGGCCACACUGGAACUGAGACACGGUCCAGACUCCUACGGGAGGCAGCAGUAGGGAAUCUUCCGCAAUGGGCGAAAGCCUGACGGAGCAACGCCGCGUGAGUGAUGAAGGUCUUCGGAUCGUAAAACUCUGUUAUUAGGGAAGAACAAAUGUGUAAGUAACUAUGCACGUCUUGACGGUACCUAAUCAGAAAGCCACGGCUAACUACGUG
rnacentral:rRNA from 1 species